CUUUCAUUCCUUCUUUGGAUAUAAUAAUAAUCUGCAGAGCACCAGCCUGCUAUGAGGAGUACAGAGACGACCCUGCCUCCAGACUUGCUGCCCCCACCUGAGGUCAGUCUGCUUUCUGAGUACAGUGGUGUGAAAUGGACCAGGCUUGCUGCCCAGUUUCUCCCAAUUUCAGGUGGUGGGGACAGAUCGACGAUGUCAAGAUUCCUCACUAUGUGACAAGGCUUCCAAGAUUCCUGAACUGUUGGGAAAAGGAUCGAACUCGGGUCCUUGCGCUUAUGCAGCAGGCGACGAAACCACUGAGCUAAAUCCCCAGCCCUACCUACCACCUUUUGAACCACUGAAGCAUCAAUCAGGUAUCAUCUACAUUUUCUUCUGUUCCUUGCAGCAGGUUUUUUGUGUGGGAGCAGGACCUCCAAAUCUGCAGAUAUGUCACCUUCUCUGGAUUCCUUAC
rnacentral:lncRNA from 1 species